rnacentral:rRNA from 1 species
CCCUUAGAUGUUCUGGGCCGCACGCGCGCUACACUGAUCGAUUCAACGAGUUUUAUAAUAUUUUGUUUAAAAAAUUUAUAUAUCCUUUGUCGGAAGGCAUGGGUAAUCUUUUAAAUGUCGAUCGUGAUGGGGCUAGAUUCUUGCAAUUAUUAAUCUCCAACGAGGAAUUCCUAGUAAACGCAAGUCAUCAGCUUGCAUUGAUUACGUCCCUGCCCUUUGUACACACCGCCCGUCGCUCCUACCGAUUGAGUGGUCCGGUGGGGCUUUGGGAUCUGAGCGGAAAGAGCGUUUCGCUGUUUCUGCUCGGAAAACUCAGUCGAACCUUAUCAUUUAGAGGAAGGAGAAGUCGUAACA